AGACACAGAUACAGUGCUUUCAUGUGCUGAUUCCUCCAAGGCUCACAACUGAGUCUGGGCUAAAUCAAACCAGGAGCUGUGGGGCAGGGAUUGUGCUGCAUCAGUUUAAGCUGCUGAUUGGGAGGCUCACAUCAAAUACCAGGAUAGAUUCUAGAGACAUCUACAUGUGGCCAAGACCAACAAAAAUAAAUAUAUUGCUGCAUACAAAAAUUAGCUUCAUCUUAUAUAAGAGGCAAGAUAGACAUAAAGAGAAGAAUGAACUCCCUGACAUCCUUCUUUGUGACCCAGAGCUGAUACCGUUCGGAGAAAUGCACUGUUACAGGUGUGGACUGUGGACUUCACCCUGGAGGAGCAGCAGGACCUGGACACUUUAAAAGGUUUAAUAUUAUCUGUACCCCUUGUGUAGCCCCUGCAUUUCCAGGCAAAAGAAGGAAAUCAUUUUGCUGAUGGAGCAACUGUGUUCAGCAUUAAGCAGCACAAUCCUUUGUCUCUUACCCAGGUGAAAAUACAAAAUCCCCAGGAUAUUCAAACAUGCCGCCUUCUUACAAUUGGUAUGUAGUAAACCCUGCAGGGUUUUUCACCCUGCCAGCCAACAGACAAGAGCAUGUGGGUGGUAAAUCUGAACUGGCUCUUCCUGGGCUUGGCUUACAUGCACAGCAGGGGUUGUAUGACUGUCCCAGAGGCAUCAGCAGAGUCCAAAGAGGAUCCAUAUGUGAGUAUGGUGGUUGAGAGCAAGGUUCAGAGAUUGUAGGGUCUUGGUGGGGAGACAUCCUUGCCACAUGCUAGCAUCACAGCACUGCUUCUUUCCUACAUGAAGAUGGGGAGAAUUACCCCUUCCUGUCUCCACCUUCUCCAUUUUACUGUUUAUUUCUUCUGCUUUCUUGUUUUGCCUUGAGUUUUCUCUGAAAAUUUUUUUAGCUUCAAAUAUUAGAAUUAUAGCUAUGCCACAGUGCUGGCCCCUCAAGUUUUAUCCUGCUAUGGAAUGCAUGGAACAUUUCUCUUUGUAUUAAUACAAAAAAGUUUUUAAAAAUGUUUUAAUCCUAUACAGAUUAUAUUGGCUCAAUAGGCUAAUCCUCUGCCUAGUGGCGCUGGCACACCGGGUUCUAGUCCCAGUGGGGGUGCUGGAUUCUGUCCCGGUUGCCCCUCUUCCAGGCCAGCUCUCUGCUGUGGCCAGGGAGUGCAGUGGAGGAUGGCCCAAGUGCCUGGGCCCUGCACCCCAUGGGAGACCAGGAGAAACACCUGGCUCCUGCCUUCCGAUCAGUGUGGUGCGCCAGCCGCAGUGCGCUGCCCACGGUGGCCAUUGGAGGGUGAACCAAUGGCAAAGGAAGACCUUUCUUUCUGUCUCUGUCUCUCUCUCAGUGUCCACUCUGUCUGUCCAAAAAAAAAAAGAAAAAAAGGAAUCCUAAUGGAGACUGGGAAUGGGAGAGGGAGGAGGAAAAGGAGGGAGUAGGGGUGGGAGAGUGGAUAUGGUGGGACGAAUCACUCUGUUCUUAAAGAUGUACUCAUGAAAUUUAUGUUCACUAAAUAAAAUGUUUCUAAAAAAAAAAAAAGAUAUGCUAGUGCCAUUGCUCCCCAGUCUUCCCUUAAGCUAAUAAAAAUGACUAAAUAAAGAAUGAAUCCUUAAGACAAAAAAAGACACGUUGAAUAUAAUUUGCCAGUGCCUUAUGUGCAAAAUCACAUUCUCCAGUUCUAUGUAAAGAACGAAGAUGAAUAGCCAGUGUUCAUACAAAUAGAACAGAGAUUGGACUAGUUUCAGUGAAAGUUUGGGAAACUCACAGAUUUCUGUAUAUCUCUUCCAUGUUUCUUGAACCCAAGGAAGUCCCAAUGUAUGUCUUUAAUCUUUAUCCCAAUAAAAACUCAGACCAUCAACAUCCCUCUUUCCUAACUCAAGUCAGUGUGAGUGUUCACCCUUACCUCAUCUGAGACAUAAGGCCUGGGUGAGGACUUUGAGCUUAACCUUCAGUUCUAAGAUACCUGGUAACAGUGCUGUUGCUUCCAAAGAUUCUGGAGGAGUUACUGCUGUGUGUUCAAUGGUUGGAUCUCCUUGUCUUCGAAGCUGUUUCCAUCCUUUAUUGUUUAAGGUCUGUAGUCUUUAAAGCAAAGGGCCUUUCUUCCAUGGGACAUUUUGGUGUCUAUAACAUCAUUCACAGGACAUACAAAAUUAUGAACUUAAGAUUUAUUUUGUAUAGAUUGAAUAUCAAGUCCCAUUUGUAGUUGCCUUGGCAACUUAAGAUUUAGUGGGUAUAGAUUGAAUAUUGAAUCCCAUUUGUAGUUGCCUUGGCAGGGUCAGACCAAAUGAUUCUAUGGGCUUUAUGUGGCUAGCGUAUGGAAGUCCUCCACCCCUGCUAAAGGGCCAUUAGAAUAGCCUGCUGGGACACAUUUGUUCAAUACAUGUAAUCAUUCACAUUUAUUGUCUCUAGAGGGGCCCGUGGACAAUGUGGCUGGAUUAAAAAAAAAAAGGCUUUUUUUCUUUUAGUAAUAUUUCAGUUAUCAAAUAGUAUGGCUUAGACUCUCCCAAAUAGCCAGAAAUGAGCCAGUAGCCUUCCUUUUUCCAGAAGUGAGCCCAGUAUGCACAGUGAGCAGUAUGCACAGUGGUAAAAAACUGCCCAAAUGUGAACUGUUGUGUCUAAUUCAGUGAACAAGUGGCUGUAAUUCUUAGACAUGUCAGCUAGCCUUGGGUGACCAAGUCCACAUCUUACAGUAUCAGCCCCUUUAUGUUUUUUAGGAUUUUAUUUUAUUUGAGAGGUAGAGUUACAGACAGUGAGAGGAAAAGACAGGGAGAAAGGUCUUCCUUCCUUUGGUUCACUCCCCAAAUGGCUGCAACAGCUGGAGCUGUGCCAAUCGGAAGCUUCUUCCCAGUCUCCCCAUGGGUUCAGGGGCCCAAGGACUUGGGCCAUCUUCUACUGCUUUCCCGGUCCAUAGCAGAGAGGUAGAUUGGAAGAGGAGCAGCUGGGACUAGAACUGGCACCCAUAUGGGAUGCCAGUGCCACAGGCAGAGGAUUAACCUACUGUGCCAUGGGGCUGGCCCCAGUUUCUUUGUUUUUGCUGGAGCUGCAAGUUGGGGCUUUAACCCACUCUGCCAUAGCACUGGCCCCUCCAUUACCAGUUUAUGGGAUUUUUAGUUUUUUUCUUUCCCUCAAAGUUCUGGAAAUUCUUGUCUAAAGUAGCCAAAAAUCUGUAUUCAGGAACAUUUUCUGUGAAAUUGAUUACAAGUGUUUUUAGAGAAGAAUACAAAACUAUGGAUGACAGAAGUCUUUAAAUAAACAUAGUUAAAAUUAUGAAAUUGAUUAAUUGACAUGAGCCAUUUAUGUUCAUUCCAUACAGGAUGUUACAAAGCAACUAAAGAGGGACCAGCAUUGUGGCAUUGCAGGUGAAGCUACUGCCUAUGAUGCUGGCAUCCCCUAUGGGUUACACUUCGAGUCCUGGUUGCUCCACUCUGAUCCUGCUCCCUGCUAAUGCACCUGGGAAAGCAGCAGAGGAUGGCGAAGUGUCUGCUCCUGUACCCAUUUGGGAGAACUUGAAUUAUGACCAUAUUGCCUGGCUUCAGCCUGGUUUAGCUUUGGUCAUUGUGGCCCUUUGGAGUGUGAACCAACAGAAGAAAUCCAAUCUCUCUCUCUCUCUCUCUCCUCCUUUCUGGAAUUCUGCCUUCAAAUAAGUAGAUACAUCUUUAAAAAGGAAAGAAAGAAACUGAAGGAUUUUACAUACCUAUUGUCCCUUUUAGGACUCUGGGUCUCCUUUUUAUGAAGAUAACCAUCAUGACUACUAACAACGCAACAGAACUAUCAGAUUUUAAAAUUUAUAUUACUUCUAGGACAUUUAUAUCAAUGACAUAUCUAUAUAAAUAUAAUUUAACAUUGAGCAUAAUUUCAUGACAGUACUUUCCUAAAAUGCAAGUUGCAUAAUAAACUAUUACCUCUAAAAGAUAAGACAUAUAUCCUUUGACACAUCAAGGGUUCCUGCUGAAAAUCUCAAAGUGAAAAAAUUUAGAACCUUGAUUCUGGGAAAGUCUCAGGAUGUCAAAAUGGCUUAAAAUAUUUGGUCAAAAUAGGCUCACAUAAUUUUGAAAUAGCAUCCAUCUGCUUAGUGUGAUUCAACCAGUUCUAAACCAGAUUUACUCAUAAAUCUGAUUUUAUAAAACAAGUAUAUAUACAACUUUUAACUCUUAUGACUCAGCUUUUUCCAAACAAUUCUGAUUGUUUGCUAAGGCACAACAUUUGUGAUUUUUGGUCAGUCACCAAAGUGGAAGUAAAAACCUUGAAUAGAAAAAUAGCAUAUAAAAUAACCCAUUAUUAGAAAAAUUUAAGAGUCACAACCAGGAAGGAGAAGAAAGAUUAAGGAAGCUGAUUAGAAAAUUCACAGAUGAUUAAAAACUAAGCAAGAAUUCUUAAAAGGAGAUGCUGCAGUUUUUGUUUUUUUUUUUUUUUUUUUAAACAAAAGAUUCCAUGACCAGCACUAUGGCAUAGCACGUGAAGCUGCCAACUGCAGUGCCAGCAUCUCAUUUGGUCACUAAUUUGAGUCACAGCUGCUCCACUUCUGAUUCAGCUCUCUGCUAUGGCUGGGAAAGCAGUAGAAGAUGGCCCAUGUCCUUGGGCCCCUGCAUUCAUGUUGGAGACCUGGAGGAAGAUGCUACCUCUUGGCUCCUGGCUCAGCUCUGGCAAUUGAGGACAUCUGGGGAGUGAACAAGAGGAUGGAAGAUCUCUCUCUCUCCUCUGCCUCUCUGGAACUCUGCCUUUCAAAUAAAUCAAUAAAUCUUUAAAAAAAAAUAUUCCAAAAUUAAAGUCCAAGGCUAUUUCCAGAUAUUUUCUAACAUAUCAAU